UGGGGAAUUUUGGACAAUGGGGGAAACCCUGAUCCAGCCAUCCCGCGUGUGCGAUGAAGGCCUUCGGGUUGUAAAGCACUUUUGGCAGGAAAGAAACGUCGCGGGUUAAUACCCCGCGAAACUGACGGUACCUGCAGAAUAAGCACCGGCUAACUACGUGCCAGCAGCCGCGGUAAUACGUAGGGUGCAAGCGUUAAUCGGAAUUACUGGGCGUAAAGCGUGCGCAGGCGGUUCGGAAAGAAAGAUGUGAAAUCCCAGAGCUUAACUUUGGAACUGCAUUUUUAACUACCGGGCUAGAGUGUGUCAGAGGGAGAUGGAAUUCCGCGUGUAGCAGUGAAAUGCGUAGAUAUGCGGAGGAACACCGAUGGCGAAGGCAGCCUCCUGGGAUAACACUGACGCUCAUGCACGAAAGCGUGGGGAGCAAACAGGAUUAGAUANCCCUGGUAGUCCACG
rnacentral:rRNA from 1 species